CCAUUUCCAUCACAAAUCACUCUCAUGUUCACUUGUGGUAAACAGAAUAAUGGGCCCCCAAAGAUGUGUACAUCCUAAUUUCCAGAACCUGUGGAUAUUUUAGGAUCCAUGGGAAAGGGGAAGAAAAAUUGCAGAGGGAGUUAUUGCUGCUGAUCAGCUGACUGUAAAGUAAAGAGAUUAUCCUGGAUUAUCUGGGUAGGCCCCACGUAAUCAUAAAGGUUUCUAAACGUGGAAGAAGGAGACAGAAGAGGAGGUCAGAGGGAGCUGUGAUUAAGGAAGAAUGGUCAGAGAUGCAACACUGCUGACUUUGAAGACAGAGGACAGUGUCCAUGAGCUAGAGAAUAGAAAUGCUUCUAGAAACUGGAAAAGUGACAGCUUUUCCUGGGCUCACACUUCACUUCUCUCACCUGCCACCAUAUAAGACGUGCCUGUUUCCCCUUCCACCAUGAUUGGAAGUUUCCUGAGGCCUUCCCAGCCAUGCUGAGCUGUGAGUCAUUUUCUUUAUAAAUUACCCAAUCUCUGGUAGUAUUUUCAUAGCAGUUUGAGAACAGACUACUACAAAAGGUUUUAGAGCAUUUUCUAAAACGAACAAUAAAAUGGAAAGAAAAGUCCAGUUCAUCAUGAUGCAGUCACAAAGGAAAACCAUUGAUUUCAUGCAUCAACAUACAAUGCGAAACUAAAGCUAAAUAGUUUUGGGAAACACAAAUUUAUGCUUACCUUGACAAUACAUAAUAAUGUAAUUCACCAAACUCAUGAAUUGGGAUAUGGAAAGAAAGUGGGGGAUCACAUAUGUGGGCUGACCUCCCUGUCUUUCACAACAGGAUAGGGAGGACAGUCAAAAAAGAGUAUAUAGAGGUGAUACAUAAAAUAAUAGAACUAUAAGUAUAUGAUUCCAUUUAUAAGGUUAAUCCCAAGAGAAACAAUGGAAAAUAGUGUAACCAAAUUAAUCAGUGAUGGAAGUAUCAGGGUAGAGAGAGAGACAGAAGACAGUAGGAGUAUACUGUUGUAGAUGAAAUGUUUGUGUCUUGCUCUCCCUAAAUGCACAUGUUGAAAUCCAAAUCCCC
rnacentral:lncRNA from 1 species